rnacentral:rRNA from 1 species
AAAUCGAAGAGUUUGAUCAUGGCUCAGAUUGAACGCUGGCGGCAGGCCUAACACAUGCAAGUCGAACGGUAACAGGAAGAAGCUUGCUUCUUUGCUGACGAGUGGCGGACGGGUGAGUAAUGUCUGGGAAACUGCCUGAUGGAG